AAAUGUGAUUUAUGAAGUCUUUCAAGCACAAGUCCUUCCUGCCUUUGCUUGUGGACUGGGGCCCCUACUUGUGUGCAAUCCUACACCCGCCCUGAGGCAGGAUCCACUCCUUCAUUUCUCCAGCGCCAAAUUACAGACAAUUCAGACAGAGAAGACAGGCCUGAAGGAAACUUGAGGGACAGCGGAAAGUGAUGGGAACAAACGUUAGAUCUGAGGGAUUAUGAGACGGGCAUGACAAAUUGUAUUCUUGUAGGUUAGGAAUUAUGAUUAUCCUAUAUAUGGCUAAAAUUAUCUUCUAUGUGUUCAUUUUCAAAACAAAAUAUAACCCAAUGUGAAAACGGGAAGCUGGAAAGGUUUUGCUUUCCUUUGUUCUCCUUCAUAAAUAGUAUUCUUAGAUGCAGGUGAGAGAUGAGUCUCCAGUCCCACCUGCCUCUCCCAGCCCCCCACCUCACUCCCGCGGUAGUGCAAGAGAAGAGAGUAUCAGUAGCGCCAGAAGCCAGGACCCAGGGUGGGUGCCCUGGCGUCCGGUUUCAUUGACUUGCUAAUUGGAAGACUACAAAGCCUUUCGCACAGGGAAAGGUGAAGAGGCGGUGGCGAGGGGGGCACCUGCGUUGACGAAUAGACACACAAAGAAAAAGAAAGCUUCGCAAAGGCGGAGCUGAUUUUCCGAAUGGUAGCCAUCUGGAGCUAGCGGCAAGCAAGAGGACAGCAAGCGGACGGCGAGUGCGUUUCGUUGGAGGUUCGGAAAACCAGCGAAAUAAAGGUUUACUGCGUACCGGCUGCGGGCUGGUGGAAGAGGCCCUGGGUUCUUUGCGAGCGCGUGGUCCGUUGAGGGUGAGGAAAUCGGACCACCAACCCCCACGUGUAGGGGAGGACGUGGUGCAGCAGCGCCACAUAAAGCCGGAGGAACCCCAAGUGGAGGCCGCUUGGGUCCUUCCGGAGUGAGUAAAGAACCAAUUUCUGUGGCAUGUGUUUCUACAGUAACUGUAUUGUAAUACUUCCUAAAACGAGUAA